rnacentral:rRNA from 1 species
GACGAACGCUGGCGGCGUGCUUAACACAUGCAAGUCGAACGGAAAGGCCCUGCUUUUGUGGGGUGCUCAAGUGGCGAACGGGUGAGUAACACGUGAGUAACCUGCCCUUGACUUUGGGAUAACUUCAGGAAACUGGGGCUAAUACCGGAUAGGAGCUCCUGCUGCAUGGUGGGGGUUGGAAAGUUUCGGCGGUUGGGGAUGGACUCGCGGCUUAUCAGCUUGUUCGUGGGGUAGUGGCUUACCAAGGCUUUGACGGGUAGCCGGCCUGAGAGGGUGACCGGCCACAUUGGGACUGAGAUACGGCCCAGACUCCUACGGGAGGCAGCAGUGGGGAAUAUUGCACAAUGGGCGGAAGCCUGAUGCAGCAACGCCGCGUGCGGGAUGACGGCCUUCGGGUUGUAAACCGCUUUCGCCUGUGACGAAGCGUGAGUGACGGUAAUGGGUAAAGAAGCACCGGCUAACUACGUG